GCGGAAGUGGUGUAAUGGUAACAUUCAUGAUCUCCAAUCAUGAGAUUGAAGGUUCGAGUCCUUCCUUCCGCU
rnacentral:tRNA from 1 species